rnacentral:rRNA from 1 species
UACCAGCACCCCGAGUGGUCGGGACGUUUAUUGGGCCUAAAGCCUCCGUAGCCGGUUCUCCAAGUCUUCCGUUAAAUCCACCUGCUUAACAGAUGGGCUGCGGAAGAUACUAUAGAGCUAGGAGGCGGGAGAGGCAAGCGGUACUCGAUGGGUAGGGGUAAAAUCCGUUGAUCCAUUGAAGACCACCAGUGGCGAAGGCGGCUUGCCAGAACGCGCUCGACGGUGAGGGAUGAAAGCUGGGGGAGCAAACCGG